rnacentral:rRNA from 1 species
UACAGAGGUCCCAAGCGUUGUUCGGAAUCACUGGGUGUAAAGGGUGCGUAGGCGGCGCGGAAAGUCAGGGGUGAAAUCCCGGAGCUCAACUCCGGAACUGCCUUUGAUACUCCCGCGCUUGAGAACUGGAGGGGAGACCGGAAUUCACGGUGGAGCAGUGAAAUGCGUGGAUAUCGUGAGGAACACUAGUGGCGAAGGCGGGUCUCUGGACAGUAUCUGACGCUGAGGCACGAAGGCCAGGGGAGCGAACGGG